GGCAACCGGAGUCCUUUUCCACACUGUGGAAGCUUUGUUCUUUUGCUCUUUGCAAUAAAUCUUGCUGCUGCUCACUCUUUGGGUCCACACUGCCUUUAUGAGCUGUAACACUCACCGUGAAGGUCUGCAGCUUUACUCCUGAAGCCAGCGAGACCACGAACCCACCGGCAGGAACGAACAACUCCAGACGCGCCGCCUUAAGAGCUGUAACACUCACCGCGAAGGUCUGCAGCUUCACUCCUGAGCCAGCGAGACCACGAACCCACCGGAAGGAAGAAACUCUGAACACAUCCGAACAUCAGAAGGAACAAACUCCGGACACGCCGCCUUUAAGAACUGUUAACACUCACCGCAAGGGUCCGCGGCUUCGUUCUUGAAGUCAGUGAGACCAAGAACCCACCAAUUCCGGACACAAGGGGAGCUGACUUUCAUUAUAAAGAUUUUCUCAUUGCAAAGUGAAAAAGAGAAUAAUAACUUUAAAACAAGGCAGAAAGUAAAGAGAACUGGAAGCGAGGAACAUGCUCUGAACUAGAACUGGCAACAUGAGAGAUGAGCUCAGGCUUCAAAAUGGUGUCUGCACUGGGUCUUGAAGGAAGAGCAGAGUUUGGGCAUUUAGAAACCAAGAAUUCCAGGUUGACAAGUCUCAGAGCAUGGUGCUGGCAUCUGGCAAGGGCCUUAUCCCAUGGCAGAAGGCAGAAGUGAGUACACAAGACAGAGGGAAGAAGGAGGCCAGACUCCCAAGAAAUGAAUGGCAGUAUCAUCAGAACAACCACCCAUAUGUUUUCCCAAAGCAAGACAUUGUGAGGUGUUAAGAGAUAUAUGCAGGUCUUCAAGGAAUCGUUACACUGUCUUCUACUAUGGCUGAACUAAUUUACAUUCCCACCAACAGUGUAAGUGUUCCUAUUUCUCCACAGCCUUGCUAGCAUCUGUUGUUUCUUAACUUUUUAAUAAUUGUCAUUCUGUCAUGAGAUAGUAUGUCAUUGUGGUUUUGAUUUGCAUUUCUCUAAUGAUCAGCGAUGUUGAGCUUUUUAUCGUUUG
rnacentral:lncRNA from 1 species